rnacentral:piRNA from 1 species
GAACUAUAAAGAUGUCCUUAACUC